GGCCACAGGCUCCGAGUUUUGGCGUGAGGAACCGCUGAUCGGCCACGGGCGCCGAACUUGCUGGCCUCCGGCAUGUGCCUGAGCGGCGGCGGAAAAACCACCUUAAUUGGGGCGGAGGGUUAGUUUUAACAGCAAAGGGCCUUUACUAAAAUGGCGAAGGCCUUCCGUCGGCGUUGUUUUAAAAUGGGAAGCCUCGACCCUGUAUUGAAACUGAGCUGUUCGAAGGCGGCGUUGUGUGCAAUUCGGAUUAAUGAAGGGGAAGGGUUUUGUGUGGAAAAACGCCUUGGAGUGUGACAUUUCUGCGAGAAUGCUUAAAUACCGAUUUCCCGCAGGAACAAUGGCGCUGUCUUCAGUGGCACAGUGGAGCAGCUCUGAAGAUGCAAAGAUACACGAAAAAACUUCCAGAACAUCUGGGAGAAUAUUUAAUGGAAAAUCGCUUGGUUAAAACCUGACACUUUUAACAGUGAGGGUCGCUGUCUGCCCAUUGAUAGAGGCCAGAUUGUCUUGGAAGUUCCAAAGUUGCAACGAUUUCUGGCUAGUGCCACGAGGUUUACUUGACUGUUGUGUGAAAAGCUGAUAAGAAAACCAUCCAGAAAAAAGCUCUUCGUUUUACAAACAUGAAAAUAAAACAUGUAAUUUUG
rnacentral:lncRNA from 1 species